rnacentral:tRNA from 1 species
GCUUUCGUGGUGUAAUGGUAGCACACUCGGCAUGUAUUUGAGAAGUCCAGGUUCGAGUCCCGGCAAGGACA